GAUGAACGCUGGCGGCGUGCCUAAUACAUGCAAGUCGAGCGAAAGGACGAGAAGUUUGCUUCUCUGAUGUUAGCGGCGGACGGGAGAGUAACACGUGGAUAACCUACCUCUAAGCCUGGGAUACCUUCGGGAAACCGGAGAUAAUACCGGAUAAUAGUGUGAACCGCAUGGUUGAAAAGUAAAAGACGGUCUUGCUGUCAGUUAUCGAUGGAUCCGCUCUGCAUUAGCUAGAUGGUCAGGUAACGGCUUACCAAGGAAACGAUGUAUAGCCGAGCCGAGAGGGGGUAGGCGCACUCUGACACUGAAAGGCGAUCUUGACUCCGACGGAAGGCACCGACAGGUAAGCGUCCGCAAUGGGCGAAAGCUUGACGGAUCAGCGCAGCCUUAAUGAUGAAGGUCUUCGGAUCGUAUGACUCUGUUAGUAUUGAAGAACAUAUUUGUAAGUAACUGUGCACAUCGUGACGGUACCUAAUCAGAAAGCCACGGCUAACUACGUG
rnacentral:rRNA from 1 species